CUCUGAGAAGAGCUUUCCCUUCGGGGACAAAGUGACAGGUGGUGCAUGGUUGUCGUCAGCUCGUGUCGUGAGAUGUUGGGUUAAGUCCCGCAACGAGCGCAACCCUUAUUACUAGUUGCCAGCAUUUAGUUGGGCACUCUAGUGAGACUGCCGGUGACAAACCGGAGGAAGGUGGGGACGACGUCAAAUCAUCAUGCCCCUUAUGACCUGGGCUACACACGUGCUACAAUGGAUGGUACAACGAGUCGCGAGACCGCGAGGUUUAGCUAAUCUCUUAAAACCAUUCUCAGUUCGGAUUGUAGGCUGCAACUCGCCUACAUGAAGCCGGAAUCGCUAGUAAUCGCGGAUCAGCAUGCCGCGGUGAAUACGUUCCCGGGUCUUGUACACACCG
rnacentral:rRNA from 2 species